rnacentral:ncRNA from 1 species
CAUCAUUUCUGAUAAUAUCAGAAAUGAUGGAAAAUUCCGCUGUAUGCGGGAACAUCUCGUUAGGUUCAGAGUACUUGCCCAGCCCCAGUUUGAAAAACUGGAGCUGGACAGUAAAAAUCUUUGAAAUAGAGACAAUCCGCAGGGAAGAGAAUACCCAAGAAUUGGGUGGCAAACUCCCCUCAACGACUAUACGCGGAAUCCAAUACCAAAAUUGGUGCUGGAAUGAUAUAGUCUGAACUCUAUGGCGACAUAGAG